UACGUAGGGUGCAAGCGUUGUCCGGAAUUAUUGGGCGUAAAGAGCUCGUAGGCGGCUUGUCACGUCGGGUGUGAAAUCUCGGGGCUUAACUCCGAAACUGCAUUCGAUACUGCCGUGCUUGAGGACUGGAGAGGAGACUGGAAUUUACGGUGUAGCAGUGAAAUGCGUAGAGAUCGUAAGGAAGACCAGUGGCGAAGGCGGGUCUCUGGACAGUUCCUGACACUGAGACACGAAGGCCAGGGGAGCAAACGGG
rnacentral:rRNA from 1 species